rnacentral:rRNA from 1 species
GGGUUGUGAGGUUAAGCGACUAAGCGUACACGGUGGAUGCCCUGGCAGUCAGAGGCGAUGAAGGACGUGCUAAUCUGCGAAAAGCGCCGGCGAGGUGAUAUGAACCCUUGACCCGGCGAUGUCCGAAUGGGGAAACCCAGUGCAAUCCGUUGCACUAUCGUUAACUGAAUACAUAGGUUAACGAGGCGAACCGGGGGAAAUGAAACAUCUAAGUACCCCGAGGAAAAGAAAUCAACCGAGAUUCCCCCAGUAGCGGCGAGCGAACGGGGAGCAGCCCGGAGUCUGAAUCAGCUUGUGUGUUAGUGGAACGGUCUGGAAAGUCCGACGGUACAGGGUGAUAGUCCCGUACACGAAAGCACACAUGCUGUGAACUCGAAGAGUAGGGCGGGACACGUGGUAUCCUGUCUGAAUAUGGGGGGACCAUCCUCCAAGGCUAAAUACUCCUGACUGACCGAUAGUGAACCAGUACCGUGAGGGAAAGGCGAAAAGAACCCCGGCGAGGGGAGUGAAAAAGAACCUGAAACCGUGUACGUACAAGCAGUGGGAGCCUCUUUAUGGGGUGACUGCGUACCUUUUGUAUAAUGGGUCAGCGACUUAUAUUCUGUAGCAAGGUUAACCGUAUAGGGGAGCCGAAGGGAAACCGAGUCUUAACUGGGCGUUAAGUUGCAGGGUAUAGACCCGAAACCCGGUGAUCUAGCCAUGGGCAGGUUGAAGGUUGGGUAACACUAACUGGAGGACCGAACCGACUAAUGUUGAAAAAUUAGCGGAUGACCUGUGGCUGGGGGUGAAAGGCCAAUCAAACCGGGAGAUAGCUGGUUCUCCCCGAAAGCUAUUUAGGUAGCGCCUCGUGAAUUCAUCUUCGGGGGUAGAGCACUGUUUCGGCUAGGGGGCCAUCCCGGCUUACCAACCCGAUGCAAACUACGAAUACCGAAGAAUGUUAUCACGGGAGACACACGGCGGGUGCUAACGUCCGUCGUGAAGAGGGAAACAACCCAGACCGCCAGCUAAGGUCCCAAAGUCAUGGUUAAGUGGGAAACGAUGUGGGAAGGCACAGACAGCCAGGAUGUUGGCUUAGAAGCAGCCAUCAUUUAAAGAAAGCGUAAUAGCUCACUGGUCGAGUCGGCCUGCGCGGAAGAUGUAACGGGGCUAAACCAUGCACCGAAGCUGCGGCAGCGACGCUUAUGUGUUGUUGGGUAGGGGAGCGUUCUGUAAGCCGUUGAAGGUGUGCUGUGAGGCAUGCUGGAGGUAUCAGAAGUGCGAAUGCUGACAUAAGUAACGAUAAAGCGGGUGAAAAGCCCGCUCGCCGGAAGACCAAGGGUUCCUGUCCAACGUUAAUCGGGGCAGGGUGAGUCGACCCCUAAGGCGAGGCCGAAAGGCGUAGUCGAUGGGAAACAGGUUAAUAUUCCUGUACUUGGUGUUACUGCGAAGGGGGGACGGAGAAGGCUAUGUCAGCCGGGCGACGGUUGUCCCGGUUUAAGCAUGUAGGCGGAGGUUCCAGGUAAAUCCGGUACCUUAUUAACGCUGAGGUGUGAUGACGAGGCACUACGGUGCUGAAGUGAUAAAUGCCCUGCUUCCAGGAAAAGCCUCUAAGCAUCAGGUAACACGAAAUCGUACCCCAAACCGACACAGGUGGUCAGGUAGAGAAUACCAAGGCGCUUGAGAGAACUCGGGUGAAGGAACUAGGCAAAAUGGUGCCGUAACUUCGGGAGAAGGCACGCUGAUGUGUAGGUGAAGCCCCUGCGGGCGGAGCUGAAAUCAGUCGAAGAUACCAGCUGGCUGCAACUGUUUAUUAAAAACACAGCACUGUGCAAACACGAAAGUGGACGUAUACGGUGUGACGCCUGCCCGGUGCCGGAAGGUUAAUUGAUGGGGUUAGCGGCAACGCGAAGCUCUUGAUCGAAGCCCCGGUAAACGGCGGCCGUAACUAUAACGGUCCUAAGGUAGCGAAAUUCCUUGUCGGGUAAGUUCCGACCUGCACGAAUGGCGUAAUGAUGGCCAGGCUGUCUCCACCCGAGACUCAGUGAAAUUGAACUCGCUGUGAAGAUGCAGUGUACCCGCGGCAAGACGGAAAGACCCCGUGAACCUUUACUAUAGCUUGACACUGAACACUGGUCCUUGAUGUGUAGGAUAGGUGGGAGGCUUUGAAGCGUGGACGCCAGUCUGCGUGGAGCCAACCUUGAAAUACCACCCUUUAAUGGCUGGUGUUCUAACGUAGACCCGUAAUCCGGGUUGCGGACAGUGUCUGGUGGGUAGUUUGACUGGGGCGGUCUCCUCCCAAAGAGUAACGGAGGAGCACGAAGGUUGGCUAAUCCUGGUCGGACAUCAGGAGGUUAGUGCAAUGGCAUAAGCCAGCUUGACUGCGAGCGUGACGGCGCGAGCAGGUGCGAAAGCAGGUCAUAGUGAUCCGGUGGUUCUGAAUGGAAGGGCCAUCGCUCAACGGAUAAAAGGUACUCCGGGGAUAACAGGCUGAUACCGCCCAAGAGUUCAUAUCGACGGCGGUGUUUGGCACCUCGAUGUCGGCUCAUCACAUCCUGGGGCUGAAGUAGGUCCCAAGGGUAUGGCUGUUCGCCAUUUAAAGUGGUACGCGAGCUGGGUUUAGAACGUCGUGAGACAGUUCGGUCCCUAUCUGCCGUGGGCGCUGGAGAAUUGAGGGGGGCUGCUCCUAGUACGAGAGGACCGGAGUGGACGCAUCACUGGUGUUCGGGUUGUCAUGCCAAUGGCACUGCCCGGUAGCUAAAUGCGGAAGAGAUAAGUGCUGAAAGCAUCUAAGCACGAAACUUGCCCCGAGAUGAGUUCUCCCUGAGACUUUAAGUCUCCUGAAGGAACGUUGAAGACGACGACGUUGAUAGGUCGGGUGUGUAAGCGCAGCGAUGCGUUGAGCUAACCGAUACUAAUGAACCGUGAGGCUUAACCUUACAACGCCGAAGGUGUUU